rnacentral:rRNA from 1 species
AUUGAACGCUGGCGGCAUGCUUUACACAUGCAAGUCGAACGGUAACAGGCCGCAAGGUGCUGACGAGUGGCGAACGGGUGAGUAAUGCAUCGGAACGUGCCCAGUCGUGGGGGAUAACGCAGCGAAAGCUGCGCUAAUACCGCAUACGAUCUAUGGAUGAAAGCGGGGGACCGUAGGGCCUCGCGCGAUUGGAGCGGCCGAUGUCAGAUUAGGUAGUUGGUGGGGUAAAGGCUCACCAAGCCAACGAUCUGUAGCUGGUCUGAGAGGACGACCAGCCAGACUGGGACUGAGACACGGCCCAGACUCCUACGGGAGGCAGCAGUGAGGAAUUUUGGACAAUGGGCGCAAGCCUGAUCCAGCAAUGCCGCGUGCAGGAAGAAGGCCUUCGGGUUGUAAACUGCUUUUGUACGGAACGAAACGGUCUGGGUUAAUACCUCGGGCUAAUGACGGUACCGUAAGAAUAAGCACCGGCUAACUACGUGCCAGCCGCCGCGGUAACAC